ensembl:lncRNA
UUUGUAUGGUUAAAUGAAAACGAAGCCCCCUCACCCCAAACAAUAAUAUUUUCUAAAACCAGCACACAAAGCUCAUGGUUUGCUUCCUUGCACCUGCCAGUUUGGGAACCUAUUAAAGCCACCCUGGAAAUUCUCCUUUCUUUGUGCAAUAUUUUAUGCUUUUCUUCUCUUCAGGGCAGAUUGGUUCUGCCUGCACUUUAUUCCUGAACCCACGUUCAUUCGAAAUGGAUUGGCAGACUUAAAUGCUCCAUCCAGUGCGCUGCUGCUGACUAAUAAUACCCCUCCCCCACCGCGGGUCCCAACCCAUCACACCCAGCAAUCGAGUGCGCGCUCUCUCUCUCCUCUUCCUCUCUCUCCCUCUGAUCCCCCCUCUCUCUCUGUCUGUCUCUCUCUCUCAUACACACAGACACAGACACAUACACUCACUCACAGGCACCGGUGGCCCUAUUGUCAACAAAGAAUGCAUAAUGGAAUCAGGAUGGAGUUUGAUACACUAAGGAACAGAAAAAAAUUUCCCAAGUUACCCAUUUGGAUAUAGCAGCAUGUGAAUGGGUUUAAGCAAACCUCCAGCCUGCAGCUGGAAAUACUGACAAGAAUAAAAAAGGAAGGAAGGAAGGGAAGAAGGAAGCA